CCUACGGGAGGCAGCAGUAGGGAAUCUUCCGCAAUGGACGAAAGUCUGACGGAGCAACGCCGCGUGAGUGAUGAAGGCUUUCGGGUCGUAAAACUCUGUUGUUAGGGAAGAACAAGUGCUAGUUGAAUAAGCUGGCACCUUGACGGUACCUAACCAGAAAGCCACGGCUAACUACGUGCCAGCAGCCGCGGUAAUACGUAGGUGGCAAGCGUUAUCCGGAAUUAUUGGGCGUAAAGCGCGCGCAGGUGGUUUCUUAAGUCUGAUGUGAAAGCCCACGGCUCAACCGUGGAGGGUCAUUGGAAACUGGGAGACUUGAGUGCAGAAGAGGAAAGUGGAAUUCCAUGUGUAGCGGUGAAAUGCGUAGAGAUAUGGAGGAACACCAGUGGCGAAGGCGACUUUCUGGUCUGUAACUGACACUGAGGCGCGAAAGCGUGGGGAGCAAACAGGAUUAGAUACCCUGGUAGUCCACGCCGUAAACGAUGAGUGCUAAGUGUUAGAGGGUUUCCGCCCUUUAGUGCUGAAGUUAACGCAUUAAGCACUCCGCCUGGGGAGUACGGCCGCAAGGCUGAAACUCAAAGGAAUUGACGGA
rnacentral:rRNA from 1 species